AUACGGAGGGUGCAAGCGUUACUCGGAAUCACUGGGCGUAAAGCGCGCGAGGGCGGCCUGAUAAGUUGGAUGUGAAAGCCUACGGCUCAACCGUAGAACUGCAUCCAAAACUGUCAGGCUAGAGUGUGGGAGAGGAAGAUGGAAUUAGUUGUGUAGGGGUAAAAUCCGUAGAGAUAACUAGGAAUACCAAAAGCGAAGGCAAUCUUCUGGAACACUACUGACGCUGAGGCGCGAAGGCGUGGGGAGCAAACAGGAGUAGAAACCCGAGUAGUCC
rnacentral:rRNA from 1 species